rnacentral:rRNA from 1 species
GCAACGAGCGCAACCCUUAAGCUUAGUUGCCAUCAUUAAGUUGGGCACUCUAAGUUGACUGCCGGUGACAAACCGGAGGAAGGUGGGGAUGACGUCAAAUCAUCAUGCCCCUUAUGAUUUGGGCUACACACGUGCUACAAUGGACAAUACAAAGGGCAGCGAAACCGCGAGGUCAAGCAAAUCCCAUAAAGUUGUUCUCAGUUCGGAUUGUAGUCUGCAACUCGACUACAUGAAGCUGGAAUCGCUAGUAAUCGUAGAUCAGCAUGCUACGGUGAAUACGUUCCCGGGUCUUGUACACACCGCCCGUCACACCACGAGAGUUUGUAACACCCGAAGCCGGUGGAGUAACCUUUUAGGAGCUAGCCGUCGAAGGUGGGACAAAUGAUUGGGGUGAAGUCGUAACAAGGUAGCCGUAUCGGAAGGUGCGGCUGGAUCACCUCCUUU